rnacentral:rRNA from 1 species
GACUACAUGAAGCCGGAAUCGCUAGUAAUGGCAGGUCAGCAUACUGCCGUGAAUACGUUCCCGGGCCUUGUACACACCGCCCGUCACACCAUGAGAGUUGGAAAUACCCGAAGCCUGUGAGCUAACUUAAGGGAGGCAGCAGUCGAAGGUAGAGCCAAUGAUUGGGGUGAAGUCGUAACAAGGUAGC